UAUAUUUUUGUGCAUCAUUGAUUCAAUGAUUAUAAAAAAUACAUUUUCCAGUUUUUCAAUUGUGUUUUUUUAAAAUAGUUUUAUACAUUUUUUCAAGUUUGUUUUGAGUUGACACCCUGUUUAUUAUGACAUGCGGCCUUAAAAAAAUGUAAACAAACCAAAAAGCAGAGUAUCAAAUUGUAGAUUGAACCUUGCGAAAGCGUUUUACUGUUAUUUUUAAGGAGUUAUAAAAUCUAUAAUAUAUAUUAACUAUAUUAUCAAACUUAAUUUAUUACAAUAAUACAAAAAUGCCUUCUGUAAAAAGAAAUAAGCGGUGUAAUUUAUAUGGUGGCAGCCCUUCUGAUCUUCCUAUUACAGAUCUAGCAACUUAUGGUGAUGUAGCAAGAUUUUUCUACAAAUUAAAAGAUUUAGAUGGUAUUAAAGACAAAAAUGUUAUUAUUCAAAGAACGCUUUGUAGUUUAAAAGAAAUAUGGUUCAAUUGCAAUGCCAAAUUAGUUUUGUUACCUGAAAAAAGUUUGAUUGUUAAACUUAAAAUUUUAUAAUAAUGUUGUUUCUUUGAAUGAAAAUAAAAUUAAACCUUUGACCAAAAAAUUGUUGGAAAAAAAUAAUGAAAAACUUUUUGAUCUGCUUGCAUGUAACUGCAAGCUUGAAGUUCUUCUUUGUGAUGACAGGAAUAUUAAAUGCUCAGGUUGUUCAAAUGUGCAUCUUUACUGUAGUUGUGUUGGUAGUAAAAAAGUUCUUUUGGAAGAGCGAUCCUAUAUAAAAGACCAAAGGGAGAAAAGUGGUACUAAAGGAAAGUUUCAAAUAGGAGGUAUUGAUAACUCUGUUUUAUCACCUACCUCAAGAAAAACAAAGCAAACAAAAGCUUCUGAUGAAGAAAUUUAUAUUAAAGAGUUUGACACAAUCAUAGAUUCAGAUCAGAGUGAGACUUCAAUUUCAUUAUUAAAUCAGACUAGAUCAAAGUACUAUAACACUACCCACUAUCCCAAAUUUACUUUAAAGGUAAUUAGAUAUGGAAUAUCAGAUGAAGCAGCUGCCACUGUAGCUAAUGCUCUACUUCAAGAUAUUGGUUAUCUACAUCUAAAUGAUGUAAUUGAUCCAAGUAAAAUGAAGAGGGAGAAAGAACGAGUAUGCUUUAAUGCUAGUUUUGAGCAAUCUAAAGUUUCAAAUAUAAAAGCAAUUGGUUUGGAUAGCAAACGUAAUAAAAACUCAUUGGUUUUAUGAACAGAGAGAUAUUGAUGGUGAAAUAAAACUUUGUAAAUCUACCAGCACUGUAGACCAUUUGACAUUCACAAUUGAAUCAGCAAGUUGCAAGGUCAAUAUCUAAAGCACAUAGAUGUACCUAAAGAAAGAAGUAAAGGAAAAGAUCUUGCUGAAUUUACCUGUAAUGUUCUCAAGGAAAUUAAGAGUGAUAAAAGUAUCCAGGCAAUAAUUUUGGACAAUACAAGUGUUAAUACAGGUAAAGAUAAUGGUUUAGUUGCUUGUCUUGAAAGAAUAUUGAAAAGAAGAAUUCGUUUAAUUGGCUGUCUUCUAUAUGUUAAUGAGUUACCAUUUCGUCAUUUAAUUUCUAAAUUUGAUGGUUCUUCUAAUAGUUCAAAUAAUUAUUCGGGACCAGUUGGAAAAUCUUUGACAAAUCCGAUUCAUUUAAAUUUAACUGUUAACUUCAUGCAAGUUGAGACAGACGUUGAAUAUCCUCCUCCGUGUGUCAUUAAAGACCUCUCUGCUGACCAGAGAAUGCUACUGGAAUAUAGUAUUGGAUUUUCUAGAGGGUUUUCAGACAAUAAGUAUCUGAGAAAAAAAAUAGGCCCUAUUUGUCAUGCAAGGUGGCUGACAACAGCAGUACGGAUCUUGAUACUAUACACAAGAACAAUCAAUCCCAGUAGUGAGCUCAAAAUCUUUGUUGAAUAUAUUCAAACAGUAUAUACUCCUAUGUGGUUUAAUAUCAAAAAGUCCAAGAGUUUCAGAGAGGGUCCUAAACUCAUUUUCUAAUUUAUUCAGCGGAUUUUGAGGUUGGAUACUGAAGUUCAAAAUAUUACAUUGCCUAUAAUUUAUAGAAACUCUUUUUGUCUUCAACCUGAGAAUUUUAUUGCUGCUCUACUUUAUUCUGAAGAACAGGUUUAUAGAACAAUUACUGUUGUUAAGAUUUUGGAAACAAGAAAAACCCUAAUUAAGGAUCCUAAAAAUAGAUUAAAAGAUGGUAUUAGGGUUAAUGCCAUUCCAGUUAUUGAUUGUAGAUGUAAAAAUUGGUCAAAAUUAAUAAAUUUGUAUGAUAUAGACUGUUUUGAGCCUCCUUGUGUGGAAGAUAUAUCAAAUGAGGAGCUUUUGAAUAUGAUUCUGAAAAUGACUUCUGAUUCUAGCGGAAAAUUUAUAAAUUUGUUUAUUAUUAUUAAUUUGGUUCAGCAGUAAAAGUAUAAUAUAUUUAGUAGUAGUCAAAAGGGGCAUAAUAAAAUCUUGUUUUUUUGGGUGAGUGGGGGGGGGGAUUGUUAAUACCUGCCCCGCCAUCUAGUCACCACCCGUAAAAAUAGUUUUCUUUUUUUGCUUCUGUACAUUAGAAUAAAUCCUGAUAAAAAGUGCUGUAACAACAUAACAUUGUUGUUUAUGUUUAAAUCCGUUUUUCAGUUAAUGGUUAAUGAUUAUUGAAAACCGCUUAUUGUUUAAGUUAUGAUAAUUAUUUUUCCAACACCCUAAAAACAACCUUGAAAAUUUACGUUAAAAUUAUUUAUACAACUUAUCCUUAUAAACAGUACAUUCAUAUAAGUUUUUGUGCGUUAACGUUUCAAAUAUUUAUUGUGUGACCUCUUAAAGUUUUUAAUUUUUAAUGAUAAUAUAUGAUAAAUAAAAGUCCAAAUAAGAUAGAAUCGGAAAUACCUGAAGCUUUGAUAUUUUGCCCAUAAUGUUUUUAUGGUCUAAAGAAGGUACUCCAGCUUGAAGUAAUUCCAAUUUCGAAAAAAAGUUAAAAAUCACUGGUGUCUAAUAUAUAUUAGACACCGCGCUCAACUUGUUU
rnacentral:lncRNA from 1 species